rnacentral:misc_RNA from 1 species
GCUGUUUUGGUGGUAGGGCCCUUCUGAAGAGAGGGCACCGCUGCCAGCAGUAUAGUCUCACCACUAUAAAACUCUUUUAUUAUUUUCUAGAUUUUUCAUUGCUGAGUGGCAUAACUAUAAAAAAGUUAAAACUUUCAACAACGAUCUCUUGGCUCUAGCAUCGAUGAAGAACGCAGCGAAAUGCGAUAAGUAAUGUGAAUUGCAGAAUUCAGUGAAUCAUCGAAUCUUUGAACGCACAUUGCGCCUGGCAGUAUUCUGCCAGGCAUGCCUGUCCGAGCGUCAUUUCACCACUCAAGACUCUUUUGUUCUUGGCGUUGGAGGUCCUGUUCUCCCCUGAACAGGCCGCCGAAAUGUAUCGGCUGUUAUACUUGCCAACUCCCCUGUGUAGUAUAAAAUUUCUAAUUUUUCACACUUUGAAG